ACUUGCGAGCCAAGUCUAAAGGCUCUAUCACAGCUGCCCAAAGGGGCCCUCCCUAAGGGAAGGGAGAACCCAUCCCACAAGACAAUCAGAGAUGGAAGUAUUCCCCUUUCUCCUGCCUAUGGACCGUGGACAAUGAUUUUGCACUCUCACAGACCCAUUAUAUAGCGAUUACAAGACACCAAGCUCACUGGAGAAUUGUAAUUGAACAAGGAAACAAGGAUCCAUGGAGAAGCACACUAUCCAGGGGAGACCCUACACAGGAAAACACAAGCAACGGGGAUUAUCCUGUUUACAAGUGCAGACAAUGGAUUUUUGUACCUCAACUGUAGAGCGAGACAAACUCUGGAUCUUUCCACUAAGGCAGUAAGAGGAC